rnacentral:lncRNA from 1 species
UCAAGUGUAUUAUUAGAUUGUUAAUUUGUAAUCUUUCUACUUUUUUAAUGCAGAUAUUGAAGCUAUAAAGUUCUCUCUUAGCACUGCUUUGCUGUAUCUCACAGAUUUUGGUAGGCUGCAUUUCCAUGCUGAGGGAAUUCAUCACCACUAGACGGGACCUACAAGCAACACUCAAAGAGAAACUGCCUCAAAAAUGGCAAUAUCUUCUUUGUGCUUAAUGACCCUAACUUCAUGAAGACUUGGCAUAUAGGUUUCAUCCAUGUUGCAGCAUGUGUUAGAAUUUCACUUA